CCUACGGGAGGUUGCAGUGGGGAAUAUUGGACAAUGGGGGGAACCCUGAUCCAGCCAUGCCGCGUGUGUGAAGAAGGCCCUCGGGUUGUAAAGCACUUUCAGUGAGGAAGAACGCCUGGUGGUUAAUACCCAUCAGGAAAGACAUCACUCACAGAAGAAGCACCGGCUAACUCCGUGCCAGCAGCCGCGGUAAUACGGAGGGUGCGAGCGUUAAUCGGAAUUACUGGGCGUAAAGCGCGCGUAGGUGGCUUGAUAAGCCGGUUGUGAAAGCCCCGGGCUCAACCUGGGAACGGCAUCCGGAACUGUCAAGCUAGAGUGCAGGAGAGGAAGGUAGAAUUCCCGGUGUAGCGGUGAAAUGCGUAGAGAUCGGGAGGAAUACCAGUGGCGAAGGCGGCCUUCUGGACUGACACUGACACUGAGGUGCGAAAGCGUGGGUAGCAAACAGGAUUAGAUACCCCGGUAGUC
rnacentral:rRNA from 1 species